AAUGAACGCUGGCGGCGCGCCUAAUACAUGCAAGUCGAGCGAGAAGACGUAGCAAUACGUUUGUAAAGCGGCGAACGGGUGAGGAAUACAUGGGUAACCUACCCUCGAGUGGGGAAUAACUAGCCGAAAGGUUAGCUAAUACCGCGUACGCUCCUUGGACUUCGGUUCAGGGAGGAAAGCGAUACCGUGGGUAUCGCGCUCUUGGUUGGGCUCAUGUCCUAUCAGCUUGUUGGUGAGGAACGGCUCACCAAGGCUUCGACGGGUAGCUGGUCUGAGAGGACGAUCAGCCACACUGGCACUGCGACACGGGCCAGACUCCUACGGGAGGCAGCAGUAAGGAAUAUUGCGCAAUGGGCGAAAGCCUGACGCAGCGACGCCGCGUGGGGGAGUGAAGGGUAC
rnacentral:rRNA from 1 species